ACAAAAGCAUUGAUAAGGAGGAGUACUUACUUUUUGACUCUGCAGAGAGGGAAUGGUCGGUGAAAAUUCCCGUGGCAGAAGUAAGGAAGGUAGCCUUUGAGCUUUGAACCGAACAAAGUUAUUUUCAGUAGGCUUCAACGGCAGUUCCCACCGUUAUAAGGGAGGCAAUAUCGGAUAAUUUGAUUAUCCCGCAUUGUUUAAGUGCAGAAACUGUAUUUCUGAAUUUAGGUGGUACCACGGAUUUUAUUCGCCCUAAGC
rnacentral:ncRNA from 1 species